GACGAACGCUGGCAGCGUGCUUAACACAUGCAAGUCGAACGGAAAGGCCCAGCUUGCUGGGUGCUCGAGUGGCGAACGGGUGAGUAACACGUGGGUGAUCUGCCUCUAACUUCGGGAUAAGCUUGGGAAACUGGGUCUAAUACCGGAUAGGACAAUCGUUUAGUGUCGGUUGUGGAAAGUUUUUUCGGUUAGGGAUGAGCCCGCGGCCUAUCAGCUUGUUGGUGGGGUAAUGGCCUACCAAGGCGUCGACGGGUAGCCGGCCUGGGAGGGUGGACGGCCACAUUGGGACUGAGGUACGGCCCAGACUCCUACGGGAGGCAGCAGUGGGGAAUAUUGCACAAUGGGCGCAAGCCUGAUGCAGCGACGCCGCGUGGGGGAUGACGGCCUUCGGGUUGUAAACCUCUUUCGACAGGGACGAAGCUUUGGUGACGGUACCUGUAGAAGAAGCACCGGCUAACUACGUG
rnacentral:rRNA from 1 species